ACGUAGGGGGCAAGCGUUAUCCGGAUUUAUUGGGUGUAAAGGGUGCGUAGGCGGUCUUUUAAGCCAGAGGUGAAAGGCAAUAGCUUAACUAUUGUAAGCCUUGUGAACUGGAAGACUUGAGUGCAGGAGAGGAAAGUGGAAUUACUAUUGUAGCGGUGAAAUGCGUAGAUAUUAGGAGGAACACCAGUGGCGAAGGCGACUUUCUGGACUGUAACUGACACUGAGGCACGAAAGCGUGGGGAGCAAACAG
rnacentral:rRNA from 1 species